UACAGAGGUCCCAAGCGUUGUUCGGAUUCACUGGGCGUAAAGGGUGCGUAGGCGGUCGGGUAAGUCUGAUGUGAAAUCUCACAGCUUAACUGUGAAACUGCAUUGGAUACUAUUCGGCUUGAGAGUUGGAGGGGGGACUGGAAUUCUUGGUGUAGCAGUGAAAUGCGUAGAUAUCAGGAGGAACACCGGUGGCGAAGGCGGGUCUCUGGGCAAUAACUGACGCUGAGGAGCGAAAGCGUGGGGAGCGAACAGG
rnacentral:rRNA from 1 species